UUGCUUUGGCAGCACAUAUACCAAAAUUGGAACAAUACAGAGAAGACUAGCAUGGCCCCUGUGCAAGGAUGACAUGCAAGUAUGUGAAGAGUUCCAUAUUUUU
ensembl:snRNA U6 U6 spliceosomal RNA